UAUACAUAUAACAAACAGGAGCAAGUUAGUGUUGCUUAUGCUUUGUCACAGUCGGAUACAAAUGGUGGAAUAGAAACUUCUGAGCUUUUGAAGGAGAAGUAUUAAAGCUUCUCAAAAAGGGUCAAAUGGCUUUAUACGGAGAAAUGGUGUAGGAAUGGUGGUAAGUUUUCACCAUUUCUAUGUAAAUGGUGUAUAUUGUGAAAAUAUGCAGCUUUCAGGACGCUGA
rnacentral:sRNA from 1 species